AGCGUACUUUAGGGGUGCCGUAAGGCUGAGAUGAUACCCUUUGAACCUGAUGCAGUUCAUACUGACGAAGGAAAAAGUAAACAGUCUUCC
rnacentral:ncRNA from 2 species